rnacentral:rRNA from 1 species
AUACGGAGGAUGCAAGCGUUAUCCGGAUUUAUUGGGUUUAAAGGGUGCGUAGGCGGAUGAUUAAGCGUGAGGUGAAAUGCCACUGCUCAACCGUGGAACUGCCUCGCGAACUGGUUGUCUUGAAUGCUCCUGCCGUGGGAGGAAUGUGUGGUGUAGCGGUGAAAUGCAUAGAGAUCACACAGAACACCGAUUGCGAAGGCAUCUCACGAAGGGGCUAUUGACGCUGAGGCACGAAAGCGUGGGGAUCAAACAGGAUUAGAUCCCCUGGUAGUCCACGCAGUAAACGAUGAUGGCUAAACGCUGGUUUAUUCGGAUCAGUGGCCAAGCGAAAGCGAAAAGCCAUCCACCUGGGGAGUACGACCGCAAGGUUGAAACUCAAAGGAAUUGACGGGG